GCCGACGUGGCGGAAUUGGCAGACGCGCUUGGUUUAGGCCCAAGUGGGGUAACCCGUGGGGGUUCGACUCCCUCCGUCGGCACCA
rnacentral:tRNA from 1 species